AUGACCAAGAAAGACUUUUUGUUGAUGAAAAGACAGUCAAGAAGAGCAAAUACCAGAAUAAGUACAAUGUCUUAAGAUAGGAUAAAAGGUCACAAGGGAAAAUUGGAAAAACAUGUCCGAGAAGGACAUACCCUUGCAAGGAGACCCUCAAGGUACUUGGAAGGACACAACAAAGACCAAGAACUCCCCCAAGCCAUGGUAAGAAAAGUGAACUUUCAAGGAUGAAAGUUUUUAAGAGGGGGAGAAUUUGUAAAAGACCAAGUAAGAUGAAGAGAUCUUCGAGUAAGUUUAGGGUGUCUAAGAAAGGAUUAAGGGAUCCAAAAAAAGGAUUAAAAGACACAAGAAUGGUUAAUUGGCCAAAGGAAGAGAUUGUCAAUGCCCUAAAGGAAUGAUAAGGAUCAAGCCUUUGAAAAAGAAAUAGCAUUUACUCCGAAGGAAAGGACUUAAGACCCCAAGAGCCCACCAAUUAGCCUUGUUCAAGAAGGAACAAGAGAAGUUGAUUAUGGUAAAACUUGUUGGGUACAAGGAAGGAAUUAUGCUCCAAGAUAUAAGGAAGAACAUAAAAAUGACAAUUUAAGACUUGUAAUCUCAACAAAGGAUGUUGAAAAGACGGUCAAGAAAAGCAAAUACUAGAAUAAGUACAUUGUCUUAAGAUUGGACAAAAGGCCACAAGGGAAAAUUGGAAAAACAUGUCGGAGAAGGACAUACCCUUGCAAGGGGACCCUCAAGGUACUUGGAAGGGCAUAACUAAGACCAAGAACUCCCCCAAGUCAUGGUAAGAAAAGUGAACUUUCAAGGAUGAAAGUUUUUAAGAGGGGUAGAAUUUGUAAGAGACCAAGUAAGAUGAAGAGAUCUUCGAGUAAGUUUAGAGUGUCCAAGAAAGGAUUAAGGGAUCCAAAAAAAGGAUUAAAAGGCACAAGAAUGGUUAAUUGGCCAAAGGAAGAGAUUGUCAAUGCCCUAAAGGAAUGAUAAGGAUUCAAGCCUUUGAAAAAGAAAUAGCAUUUACUCCGAAGGAAAGGACUUAGACCCCAAUAGCCCACCAAUUAGCCUUGUUCAAGAAGGAACAAGAGAAGUCUCUAUGAUGCAUCCUUGUAGGAACAAGGUUGAUUUUGGCAAAACUUGUUGGGUACAAGGAAGGAAAUAUGCUCCAAGAUAUAAGGAAGAACAUAAAAAUGACCAAGAAAGACUUGUAAUCUCAACAAAUGAUGUUCAAAAGACGGUCAAGAAAAGAAAAUACCAGAAUAAGUACAUUGUCUUAAGAUUGGACAAAAGGCCACAAGGGAAAAUUGGAAAAACAUGUCGGAGAAGGACAUAACCUUGCAAGGGGACCCUCAAGGUACUUGGAAGGACAUAACUAAGACCAAGAACUCUCCCAAGUCAUGGUAAGAAAAGUGAACUUUCAAGUAUGAAAGUUUUUAAGAGGGGUAGAAUUUGUAAGAGACCAAGUAAGAUGAAGAGAUCUUCGAGUAAGUUUAGGGUGUCGAGGAAAGGAUUAAGGGAUCCAAAAAAAAGUUUUAAAAGACACAAGAAUGGUGGUUAAUUGGCCGAAGGAAGAGAUUGUUAAUGCCUUAAAGGAAUAAUUAGGAUUCAAGCGUUUGAAAAAGAAACAGCAUUUACUCCCAAGGAAAGGACAUAAGACCCUAAGAGCCCACCAAUUAGCAUGGUUCAAGAAGGAACAAGAGAAGUCUCUAAGAUGCAACCUUGAAGGAACAAGGUUGAUUAUGGCAAAACUUGUUAGGUACAAGGAAGGAAAUAUGUUCCAAGAUAUAAGGAAGAACAUAAAAAUGACCAAGAAAGACUUGUAAUCUCAACAAAGGAUGUUAAAAGACUUUCAAGAAAAACAAAUACGAGAAUAAGUACAUGGACUUAAGGUAGGACAAAAGGCCACAAGGGCAAAUUGUAAAAACAUGUCGGAGGAGGACAUACCCUUGCAAGGGGACCCUCAUGGUACUUGGAAGGACAUAACUAAGACCAAGAACUCCCCCGAGUCAUGGUAAGAAAAGUGAACUUUCAAGGAUGAAAGUUUUUAAGAGGGGUAGAAUUUGUAAGAGACCAAGUGAGAUGAAGAGAUCUCCGAGUAAGUUUAGGGUGUCGAGGAAAGGAUUAAGGGAGCAAAAAAAAAGUUUUAAAAGACACAAGAAUGGUGGUUAAUUGGCCGAAGGAAGAGAUUGUUAAUGCCUUAAAGGAAUAAUGAGGAUUCAAGCGUUUGAAAAAGAAACAACAUUUACUCCCAAGGAAAUGACAUAAGACCCUAAGAGCCCACCAAUUAGCCUUGUUCAAGAAGGAACAAGAGAAGUCUCUAAGAUGCAUCCUUGAAGGAACAAGGUUGAUUAUGGCAAAACUUGUUGGGUACAAGGAAGGAAAUAUGCUCCUAAAAUAUAAGGAACAACAUAAGAUUGACCAAGAAAGACUUGUAAUUUUAACAAAGGAUGUUGAAAAGACUAUCAAGAAAAACAAAUACGAGAAUAAGUACAUGUGUUUAAGGUAGGACAAAAGGCCUCAAGGACAAAUUGGAAAAACAUGUCGGAGAAGAACAUACCCUUGCAAGGGGACUCUCAAGGUACUUGGAAGGACAUCACUAAGACCAAGAACUCCCCCAAGCCAUGGUAAGAAAAGUGAACUUUCAAGGAUGAAAGUUUUUAAGAUGGGGGAAUUUGUAAAAGACCAAGUAAGAUGAAGAGAUCUUCAAGUAAGUUUAGGGUGUCCAAUAAUGGAUUAAGGGAUCCAAAAAAAUGAUUAAAAGACUCGAGAAUGGUUAAUUGGCCGAAGGAAGAGAUUGUCAAUGCCUUAAAGGAAUGAUAAGGAUUCAAGCCUCUGAAAAAGAAAUAGCAUUUACUCCCAAGUAAAGGACUUAGAGACCCUAAGAGCCCACCAAUAAGCCUUGUUCAAGAAAGAACAAGAGAAGUCUCUAUGAUAUACCUCGAAGGAACAAGGUUGAUUAUGGAAAAACUUGUUGGGUACAAGGAAGGAAAUAUGCUCCAAGAUAUAAGGAACAACAUAAGAUUGACUAAGAAAGACUUGUAAUUUUAACCAAGGAUGUUGAAAAGACUAUCAAGAAAAACAAAUACGAGAAUAAGUACAUGGGUUUAAGGUAGGACAAAAGGCCUCAAGGACAAAUUUGAAAAACACGUUGGAGAAGGACAUACCCUUGCAAGGAAACCCUCAAGGUACUUGGAAGGACAUAACUAAGACUAAGAACUCGCCCAAGCCAUGGUAAAAAAGUGAACUUUCGAUUACAGAAGUAUCUAAGAGCGGGAAAAUUUGUAAGAGACCAAGUAAGAUGAAGAUGUCUUCGAGUAAGUUUAUUGCGUCCAAGAAAAGAUUAAGGGAUCCAAAAAAAAAAAAUUAAAAGACACAAGAAUGGUUAAUUGACCAAAGGAAGAGAUUGUCAAUGCCCUAAAGGAACGAUAAGGAUUCAAGCCUUUGGAAAAAGUUUGAAAAAGAAAUAGCAUUUACUCCCAAGGAAAUUACUUAAGACCGUAAAAGCCCACUAAUUAGCCUUGUUCAAGAAGGAUCAAAGUGAGGUCUCUAAGAUGCAACCUUGAAGGGAUCUAAAUAAUAGAUUAAAAGACACAAGGAUGGUUAAUUGGUCAAAGGAAGAGAUUGUCAAUGCCCUAAAGGAAUUAUAAGGAUUCAAGCCUUUAAAAAAGGUUUGAAAAAGAAAUAGCAUUUACUCCCAAGGAAAGGACUUAAGACCCUAAGAGCCCACCAAUUAGCCUUGUUUGAGAAUGAACAAAAGAAGUCCCUAAGAUGCAACCUUGAAGGGACAAGGUUGAUUAUGGCAAAACUUGUUGGGUACAAGGAAGGAAAUAUGCUCCAAGACAUAAGGAACAACAUAAA